CUCGUUGAUGGAGACUGGUAUGUUUCCUGUUGGAGUGAGAAAGAACAAUCACAGUUAGCCUGCAAAGAUAAAAAAACAAAAAAAACAAAUCAUCACAGCUGAGGAAAAUGUGACCAUUGGUUCUCUAAAAAAACAAAUCAAGGCUUACUGGAUUCAUUGUGCUCUUCGGUAUGAUUUUUCUGUUGGCUCUGGUGUCACUGUGGUGUGAUUGCUGUAAAUGCAGUUCUAGCAGAAGAGCUGUUUAUGACAAAGUGAUCUUGGAACAGGGAGAAAACUUACUGAAAGAGCAUUUCAAAGAAGAAGCAGAAGAAGAGAGGACCACCAUCCUUGUGAAAAUAGAUUGAAAAGAAGAUGGAACACAAGAUAAAUAUGGAACUAAAGAGAAAUGGAUAACAGAGCUUGGAGAUGUUGCUGCCAACAUGAUUGAAAGCUCAGAAAAAAAACAAACUUUCUAAACAACAGAAAAUACUAGAUUCACAGCAAAAUCCCCAACAAUGUCCAACUGGGGGCACAGAAGCAUCUGCAACAGGGGCCACAGCUAAAUCCAUGACAGAGGGCACAGCAGGCCUCAAUAAUGACUGACUGUUUCUGACCUGACGAGUUAGCUGCAAAAAAGGACAAUUUGCAUGUUUAUCAACGGUUUGCUAAAAUUAGCUUGAAAAUUUCAAAGUCAUUGACAAAAUCAAUCAUAACACAUUUAAACAUUUAUACAAUACAUAUAUAAUAAGUUAUAUAAAAAUAUACAAUACAUUUAUAUGAUACAUACAAAAAUUACAUUUUAAAACAUCUAUUCUAUGAAUGAUUUUAAGGACUCCAGCCUUAUUAAUUCAGAAGAAAACAUUUAAUGGAUUGUUAUGUAUUCUUUGUGAGAAUCACGAUUUUCUGGUGCCCAAAAGAAAGUAAGAAACAAAGGGAAGUAUCUGCAUCUUUUUUAUAUCAUGGGUUGCAGCAGGAUGGCAUAUAGAAUAUUUUACAUUUCUGUUACAUGUAUGUAUUGUUUUAGUAAAUUCAGUCUUUUGCAAAUGUAAUCCAAAUGCUACAAGUAAGUAGUAAGAACGAAAAGAAAGAACAUAUAUUUCCUGAUAUUUUUGCAUCUGCUACUGGCCUGAAAAGAUUUAAGUAUUUAUUUCGUCACAUAAGGGUAUACUACCAUCUUGUUAAUCUGGUAAAAAGAAAAAAAAAAGUCUGCAAAAAAUCUAACUGUUACAUUAUUUGUCUUUAUCCAAUCAUACUAUGAAUUCAGUCUUGGAUGUGGAGCCACUGAUGUUCUUGCCUGUUUAAAUCUCUGGUUGCAAUGUGAUAUUCUAUAUUAUUAUUUUGUGUUUCAUCAUUUUAUUGUUCUGUUGGCUGUCUCCUUAUUAAAAGUCAGAUUUGAA